rnacentral:rRNA from 1 species
UACGUAGGGGGCUAGCGUUGUCCGGAUUUAUUGGGCGUAAAGAGCGUGUAGGCGGCCAGGUAGGUCCGGUGUGAAAACUCGAGGCUUAACCUCGAGAUGUCAUCGGAAACUAUCUGGCUAGAGUCCGGAAGAGGAAAGUGGAAUUCCUGGUGUAGCGGUGAAAUGCGCAGAUAUCAGGAAGAACACCAAUGGCGAAAGCAGCUUUCUGGGACGGUACUGACGCUGAGACGCGAAAGCGUGGGGAGCGAACAGG